CUCUGCUGCCCUGUGACUGACUUUCCUAGUAGAUGGUCUGAGAAGUGGAACGACAUGAGGAGACUGUCUGGAGUACAUUAAACAUUGUGGGCGUCUUUGCUAACCAGGAUUUCUGUCCACUCCUCGUCCUUUGGUACCUGAUGUUACUCAGCCCACACAAACUGGGCUCUGAUAUAAAAGCUUGUGCAGCAGCAGCAGCUGCCACGGUACCUUUUCCUCACCUCUGCCUCUCCCGUCUCAUAGGACUAGUCGCCAUGAAGCUUCUGUGUCUCUGCCUUGCCCUCGCUCUGGCAUGGGCUGAUGAGUAAGUAGUUUCAGACUUUACCUUUGAUUCUGUAGAGAUUGUGACUUCUUGUGCUCCUCAUGAAUUGAAACUUAAAUCCUAAAUGGGGAGCAGUUUUUACUUUGCAAAGUGAGCAGGAGAUCUGCAUCAGCAAUAACUGUUAUUUUUUGUCUUUUUUACCAGGCUUGAGGAAAAUCCUCAUGGUGGGUAAAAAAAAAUCGUUUUUUAAACUCCUUAGUGAGACUUUUUUUUGAAAUAUUAAAACUGCAUUUAUGCCCUGCAGAUGACCUUCACCCUACAGAUCAACCCACACUUGGCUAUGAAGAUCGCCCUGACCGAUGUGAGGGCAUUGAGAUGGAUGCUGCGACUGUGAAUGAAGCUGGAGUCCCAUACUUUUUCAAGAGUAAGCUGAGGAAUGGUUGAGACUCUUCAUAUGGUCUAAACUGUGGAAACAGUUCUAUCUCAACAUUGUAUUCUGUAUCCUUGUUUAGGUCACUUCCUGUUCAAGGGCUUCCAUGGCGAAGCACAGCUGAACAAUGAGACCUUUACUGGACACGAUGAUCAUUUCCACCUGAGCGAUAUAGAUGCUGCUUUCCGCAUGCACAAUGAACACAACGCCAGCGAACACGACCACACGUUCAUCUUCUCGGUAUGUUCAAAGUCUCCAAGAGUUUAAAAGUGGCCCGCUAACACAAGAUCAUUUUGAAAAUGAUUGAGUCCAUUAUUUUACACGAACAUCAUUGCAUAUCUGUCAUGAAAAAGAGUUUGAGGUACCUGAGUAGAUCUGAGUAGAUAUAAAAUAUAUAUAUAUUUCAAUCUCUUAGUGGCUUUGGCCCAUCUUACAUAUCUAAUCUGCUUUUACCUUAUGAGCCAGGUCAAGCCCUCAGGUCUUCAGGCAGUUCUCUGUUAACAAUACCUUAAGUUUAAACCAAGACAUACUGUGAGGCAUCUUUUUAUUGGCCCAGCAUACCUAAUAAUAAUGCAUCAGAUUUCAUAUAGCAUACCUGGAAACCUGAGGACUGCAACUAAUUUUAAUGGUUUUAAAAGCUAACUGAAAUAUACCUUUUUAGUCCUGCUUUUAACUAAAUUUCAUAUCUAAAUCUUAUAUCAUUAACUUUGUUUAAGUAUUUUAGCAUUAGUUUCUUCUAGUUUUAAUGACAGGUUCAUCUUUUAUUGAGCUAUUUUGGUGCUCUUAUUUUAGUAUCUUUUACUGUUGUUUUUAUUUUAUUUUAUUUAUUAUUUCUUAAAUUUCAUUUUAUGUUUCUUUGUUUUUCUAUUUUAAACCUCCAGUGUGUCCUUAAUUUUAAAACAGCGUUUCCUCAGUGUGCACACUCCUGUUUAUAUUAAACCAAGCCCUCUUUAAGUUCAUGCAUUUUAAUACAUGUUUCUAUUGUGCUUAGAUUGCAGAGUGAGACAGAGGGGUUGGGUUGGGAUAGAUUAGGGUUUUCUUUGUUUCUUUUAUUCCUCUGCUAUGUUGAGCACUUUGUGUAUGUAAAGUGCUAUAUAAAUAAAGACUUGAUUGAUUUGAUUUGAUUUGAUUUGAUUUGAUUGUGUAAGCCUAAUCUUGAACCCCUCUUUCUUCUUUAAUACAGGGCCAUUCGGUGUACAGAUUUCACCAACAUAAACUGGAGGAAGGUUACCCCAAGCCCAUCUCUAACGAGUUCCACGGAAUUCCUGACCACCUGGACGCUGCUGUUGAGUGUCCUAAAGCAGAUUGUGGGGAUGACCUUGUCAUCUUCUUCAAGGGUUUGUUUACAGUGAAAACUAUCACUGCACCAGAGAACACCAGAAUCCCUUUGUGAAGUUCAAGCACAUUUACAUCAAGUACAGUCUUUUUUUUUAAAGAAUGGGUUAAAAAAGUGAGAUGAUUCAACAGCCAUAGUGUAGGAUCUGAGUGAUUUUGAGUUUUAAGGAAUUUGAAACAAACUCAAAGCAUUUAGCUUCUCUCAACAAAUGAAUGUCUGAUGUAAAUAUCUUCACAUCAUCAGAAUUCAGACAUCUGUAGUUUGAAAAGUGUCUCUCCAAAUUUGUGUAGGACCGUAGCUCCUCGUGAUGCAGACAUUUACAGGGUUUGAAGGACCUUAGUGCUGUAAUCCUCACCAUAUGAAGAUAACAUAUCAAUUUAAAAUUUGAUUUCACAGCCUUGUGAUUAUUUUCUUAGUACUUCAAGUCAUUUUCAUUUGUCAAACAUCCUUUUAAUCUCAUGUGUGGUUGUUUGCUGCAGGACACUCGAUCUAUCACUACGAUGUCAGAAGCAAGUAUGUUGCUAUGAAAGAGUAUGAAUCCAUGCCAAACUGCACGUCUGCUUUCCGCUUCAUGGGGAACUACUACUGCUUCCAUGGACACAUGUUCUCCAAAUUUGACCCCAAGACUGGCGAAGUGACCGGCAACUACCCCAAAGAGGCCCAGGACUUCUUCAUGAGAUGCUCCAAGUUUAGUAAGUAAAAAAUGUGUGUAUUCAUGCAAGGUCAAAAAGCACAAAUGCUGUUGUUUUACAGCUUUAAAUAAUUAAAAUAUCAGCCAUGACAAUAAAUGUGUUCAAAGUUUCCAACAAUACUUUUUCAGCGUUAUACUGCAAAUGAAUUCUAAAACUUUUAUUGGUUUAUAUUUGGUUUGAUUAUAUCUUUUCUGUAACACAACAAGCUUACUUUCCUCCAGCUGCACACUGAGAUGCCAUUUAAAAUCCAGUUAGUUAUCAGUGAAUCAUGAGUUCGAGAAGGAUAUCAAAAGUGUGUAAGAUUUGAAGAUAGAUACUAGUUAAGGUGAAGUCAGUGUGAAAGCUGCAAAGAGACCAUCAAAGAUUUUAAGUCCAUGUUUUACAUUAGCAUUAUGCUCUUCUAUUGUCUAGGUAAUGAGAGCAACCAUCUGGAAAGAGAACGAUGUAGCCGUGUUCCCCUGGAUGCCAUCUCAUCUGACGGCGUUGGUCACAUUUUUGCCUUUAGAGGUGAGAAUGAACUGCAGGCUACAUUGCAUUAAUAUAAUGUAUGGACUCAGGGGCUUUAUGUAAAAAGACAGUCGUUUUUCAAGCUCUGUCUGAAAGCUCUGUUUCAAGCCUUUUAGAUGAGAGGUGAACCAUCUUCAAGAACACGAUCCAAGUCCCAGUGUUUUUUUGGUUUAGACAAUGGAUGACUUGGAUGACUGACAGUCUUCACAGACAUGUUGGGGUGGCAGAUGAAAUGUUUAUCAUUUGCACUGUGUCCUUUUUCAAUUGGACAUUGUCACUGUUUGCUGCAUCUCUAAGUGACUCCUGUUUCUCUCAGGCCACUACUUCCUCCGUAAAGACGACGCCAACGACACAAUGACUGCUGAUACCAUCGGGCAUCUUUUCAGGGAGGUGCACAGUGAUGUGGACGCUGCUUUCACACAUAAUAAUCACCUUCACAUGUUCAAGGUAAACUACAGAGGCAAACACACACACUUAAUAUUGAUCUUGCCAAUUUGUCAUCAAGCUGAAAGCACUAAUAUACAAUUUCUCCUCCUUCAGGGUGAAAAUGUGUUUGUUUACAACGUGGGUGAGCCCUUUGUUCACCUGGACGGUUAUCCCAAGACUGUGAAAGAGGUCCUGGGCUUUGAUGGUCCCAUUGAUGCUGCAUUUGUCUGCGAAGAGGACCAUGCUUUCUUCAUUAAAGGUAAAGAUACAGACAGCAACUCCUAGAAUAUACAAAAAAAAAAAAAUCAGGAAACAACUGUAGAAUUGUUUGAGCAAACCAUUUAAAGCCACUACUAAGCCAUCAGAAAGGCAAUACAAAUCCUCGUAUUUUCUCAAAAUUCUGUGAGAUAGUUACUCAUAGUUAAUUUACAACAUCAGUUAAUAUUUUUCUCAUCAGUUUAUGGUCUAGAGUGCUAAUUUAAAGUUUUCUUUGUAAGGCAUGUUUCUUUGUGCCUCAUUUCCUAGUCAUUUGAAUGUAAAUUUCAAAUCUGACUAAUUGACUUGGCCAUGGGUAGGAGAACACUCAAAAGCAGUACAAAUAAAGCACACUGUGUUUGCAGGUAAAGGUACAGAAUUGGUUUGCUAAUGUGGCUACCACUGGCAGAGCUACCACCGCCAACCUUAAUUCCCCUAGGCUGUUUAAUUUAGACAUGUCUGUGCUAAUUGCUUGUUGCUCUAGGUGUUUAUUUCCUAGUUCAUCAGAUACAGCCUACAUACAACAUCAUCUUCCUUUUCUCAAUGAGAAUAGUGACAGGCCAUUAGAUUCCCUUCUCUUACCUGCACUUGUCUACACCUGAAGAGCAGAGCAUUAUGACAUCAUGGAGGAAGCUUAGACUGGGUUGGGGAUUGAUUACAGCUUUGAUAAAUUGAGCCAAAAACAAAUACAUUUGUUUCUACCAGCCAAAUCAUAACUCUGGUGGCAAGUGUCAAUGAUAAGAAUAUGUUAUGAUUCAUUCAACAUUGGAAAGGACUGUGUUGUUUACAUAGGGGGCACAUGCCUAUUUAGUAUCACUGCAUGAUUUGAAUUUUGUAAAAUGGGUCUAUUUGGAAAAAUGCUAAAAUACCUUCUGCAUCCCCAUAAGUUGGAAGGUCUUAAAAUAGACAUUUUAUGACCUGUAAAGUACCUGAUUAUAAAGUGCUGGUAAAUUACUCACGUCCCCUAAAAGAACUGGUCAAAGAAAAAUAAACAGCUAGAUGUUUUAAACUUUAAAGCAGAUAAAUAAAUACAUCUACAGUAUCUAUACCUGUUAAUGAACUCGUUAUCUCGCCUUUAUCCAGGUCCGAACGUCAUAUCUUUGAAAAUGAAUGAGGCCCCUGAUGGAGUUGCAAUCCGGCGUCCCAUGCCAUUCUUUGAGAAGGUGGACGGUGCCGUGUGUCGUGAUGGAAAACUUACAGUGAUUGUUGGCAACCACUUUUACAACUUUGAGAGCCCCGAGAUAUUUCUGUCAGCCAAAUUAAUCCCUGAGCCACACAAGGUCUCCAUGGAUAUGUUCGGCUGUGAUCACUGAGUGGCUCACCUUGAAGGACUGUUUUGAUUGUGCAGAACAUAACAUACAACAGCGAAAACCAAAGCUCUAACAACAUCAUGCAAAAGGAUGCUCACUGAGGAUGCAGUGUUUUCUCUAAGUAACUUCUCUUUUAUAUUUCUAUUCUCAUACUGACCAUAUCAUGCUUGGUGGUCCUCUUUGUAAAGAGUAUUACUUGUUUUUCUGCACCCCAUUUUUGGAGUUGGAAAUAAAGAGGAGAGGCAACACACAA